rnacentral:rRNA from 1 species
GAUGAACGCUGGCGGCGUGCUUAACACAUGCAAGUCGAACGAAGCACUUUAUUUGAUUUCCUUCGGGACUGAUUAUUUUGUGACUGAGUGGCGGACGGGUGAGUAACGCGUGGGUAACCUGCCUUGUACAGGGGGAUAACAGUUGGAAACGGCUGCUAAUACCGCAUAAGCGCACAGCAUCGCAUGAUGCAGUGUGAAAAACUCCGGUGGUAUAAGAUGGACCCGCGUUGGAUUAGCUAGUUGGUGAGGUAACGGCCCACCAAGGCGACGAUCCAUAGCCGAGCUGAGAGGGUGACCGGCCACAUUGGGACUGAGACACGGCCCGAACUCCUACGGGAGGCAGCAGUGGGGAAUAUUGCACAAUGGGCGAAAGCCUGAUGCAGCGACGCCGCGUGAGCGAAGAAGUAUUUCGGUAUGUAAAGCUCUAUCAGCAGGGAAGAUAAUGACGGUACCUGACUAAGAAGCACCGGCUAAAUACGUG